rnacentral:rRNA from 1 species
ACUUACCAGGUCAAGACAUGGGCGUGAUUGACAGGCUAAUGACUUUUCUCGAUUCCAUGGAUGGUGGUGCAUGGUCGCACUUAGUUGGUGCAGUGAUUUGUCAGGUUUAUUCCGGUAACGAACGAGACCUCGGCCUUGUAAAUAGCUAUGCUGCUUACAGGGACAUUGGCGGCUACGCCAAGGAAGCUCGAGGCAAUUGCAGAUCUGGAAUGCCCUUAGAUGUCCUGGGUCGCACGCGUGCUACAAUGACGCCACGAACGAGCUUGCGUGAUGAAAGUUACGCAUAAUCAGCAGUCGGCGUCUUAAGGGAUAGUCUCUUGUAACUGUGGGACUCCAACUAGGAAUGUCUCGUAAGCACAAGUCAACAUCUUGUGUUGAUUACGUCCCUGCUCUUUGUACACACCGCCCGUCGCUCCUACCGAUCGAGUGUUUAGGUGAAUUUGAUGGACGUAAGGAAGUCAAAUAAACCUGAGCACUAGAGAAGAGAAGUCGAACAUGUU